rnacentral:rRNA from 1 species
UACGUAGGGGGCAAGCGUUGUCCGGAUUUAUUGGGCGUAAAGCGCUCGCAGGUGGUCCGUCGCGUCGUGCGUGAAAGCCCCCGGCUCAACUGGGGAGUGUCGUGCGAUACGGGCGGACUGGAGGCCAGUAGGGGGAUGCGGAAUUCCGGGUGUAGUGGUGGAAUGCGUAGAGAUCCGGAGGAACACCAGCGGCGAAGGCGGCAUCCUGGACUGGUCCUGACACUCAUGAGCGAAAGCGUGGGGAGCGAUCCGGAUUAGAUACCCGGGUAGUCCACGCUGUAAACGAUGCGCACUAGGUGUCGGGGGUAUCGACCCCCUCGGUGCCGCAGCUAACGCGAUAAGUGCGCCGCCUGGGGACUACGGCCGCAAGGCUAAA